rnacentral:ribozyme from 1 species
UGCCCAGCAACUCCUAUUCCUACCUCCUCGCGGUACCGGCCGGAAACUAUGAGCAACCUUAGGGAAGAUCGGGUAACCAACCCCGGUGGGAACUUUGGUCUGAGGCUGACAGGGAAGG